rnacentral:rRNA from 1 species
UACGUAGGGUGCGAGCGUUAAUCGGAAUUACUGGGCGUAAAGCGUGCGCAGGCGGCUUUGCAAGACAGAUGUGAAAUCCCCGGGCUCAACCUGGGAACUGCAUUUGUGACUGCAAGGCUAGAGUACGGCAGAGGGGGAUGGAAUUCCGCGUGUAGCAGUGAAAUGCGUAGAUAUGCGGAGGAACACCAAUGGCGAGGGCAAUCCCCUGGGCCUGUACUGACGCUCAUGCACGAAAGCGUGGGGAGCAAACAGG